CAGCCGCCGCGGUAAUACGGAGGAUGCAAGCGUUAUCCGGAUUCAUUGGGCGUAAAGGGUCCUGAGGUGGCCUGCUUAGUCUGCUGUGAAAGCUCAGGGCUUAACCCUGACAAUGCGGUGGAAACUAGCAGGCUAGAAUACGGUAGGGGCAGGGGGAAUUCCCGGUGUAGCGGUGAAAUGCAUAGAUAUCGGGAGGAACACCAAAGGCGAAGGCACCCUGCUGGGCCGACAUUGACACUGACAGACGAAAGCUAGGGGAGCAAAGAGGAUUAGAUACCCCAGUAGUCCCUGUCUCUUAUAA
rnacentral:rRNA from 1 species